rnacentral:rRNA from 1 species
UCUCAAAACUGUAUUUCUNGAGUAGUGCAGAGUAGGGCGGAAUUCCCGGUGUAGCGGUGGAAUGCGUAGAUAUCGGGAGGAACACCAGUGGCGAAGGCGGCNUACUGGGCACCAACUGACGCUGAGGCUCGAAAGUGUGGGUAGCAAACAGGAUUAGAUACCCUGGUAGUCCACACCGUAAACGAUGAUUACUAGGUGUUGGGAGAUUGACCCUCUCAGUGCCGCAGUUAACACAAUAAGUAAUCCACCUGGGGAGUACGACCGCAAGGUUGAAACUCAAAGGAAUUGACGGGGGCCCGCACAAGCAGUGGAGUAUGUGGUUUAAUUCGACGCAACGCGAAGAACCUUACCAAGUCUUGACAUCCUGCGACGAGUGCAGAAAUGUACUUUUCCUUCGGGACGCAGAGACAGGUGGUGCAUGGUUGUCGUCAGCUCGUGUCGUGAGAUGUUGGGUUAAGUCCCGCAACGAGCGCAACCCUUAUGGAUAGUUACUACGCAAGAGGACUCUAUUCAGACUGCCGUUGACAAAACGGAGGAAGGUGGGGAUGACGUCAAAUCAUCAUGCCCUUUAUGACUUGGGCUACACACGUACUACAAUGGCGUUAAACAAAGAGAAGCGAGACCGCGAGGUGGAGCAAAACUCAAAAACAACGUCCCAGUUCAGACUGCAGGCUGCAACUCGCCUGCACGAAGUCGGAAUUGCUAGUAAUCGCAGAUCAGCAUGCUGCGGUGAAUACGUUCCCGGGCCUUGUACACACCGCCCGUCACACCAUGGGAGCCGGGGGGACCCGAAGUCGGUAGUCUAACCGCAAGGAGGACGCCGCCGAAGGUAAAACUGGUGAUUGGGGUGAAGUCGUAACAAAGGUAGCCGUAGCC